AUUGAACGCUGGCGGCAUGCUUUACACAUGCAAGUCGAACGGCAGCGGGGGCUUCGGCCUGCCGGCGAGUGGCGAACGGGUGAGUAAUGCAUCGGAACGUGCCCAUGUCGUGGGGGAUAACGUAGCGAAAGCUACGCUAAUACCGCAUACGUCCUGAGGGAGAAAGCGGGGGAUCUUCGGACCUCGCGCGAUUGGAGCGGCCGAUGUCGAAUUAGCUAGUAGGUGGGGUAAAGGCCCACCUAGGCGACGAUCCGUAGCGGGUCUGAGAGGAUGAUCCGCCACACUGGGACUGAGACACGGCCCAGACUCCUACGGGAGGCAGCAGUGGGGAAUUUUGGGACAAUGGGCGCAAGCCUGAUCCAGCCAUGCCGCGUGAGUGAAGAAGGCCU
rnacentral:rRNA from 1 species